GGGGAUGAUCGGUUUCGACAUCGCCUGCGAAACUGCGAGAAGCGGGCCGAGGAUGCAGGGUUAUCUCGUUAACGAUCUCUGCAAAAACAAUAAGUGCCGAUGCAAAGCGCACUGACUUCGCCCUCGCUGCCUAAGCGAGCCCGAUAGUCCGUCAGACCGUGUGUGUUCCCGACACGGACCCUGGCGUCAUCUAGGGGACUUGCUGCGUGAUGACGCCUGGAGCGUCACGCGGGACUUGUACUCCGGCUGGGCCCGUCGACUUGGAUGCCUGUGGCAAAGGUCGGGGCCGAGCAGAACGCUCUUACAGGCUACGCCCGUAGAAGGCGCAGAAUCACAGCGGUGGACGGGGGUUCAAUUCCCCCCAUCUCCACCA
rnacentral:tmRNA from 1 species